AUGGCUGUCGUCAGCUCGUGUCGUGAGAUGUUGGGUUAAGUCCCGCAACGAGCGCAACCCCUACCCUUAAUUGCCAUCGGGUUAUGCCGGGCACUUUAGGGGGACUGCCGGUGACAAGCCGGAGGAGGGUGGGGAUGACGUCAAGUCCUCAUGGCCUUUAUGACCAGGGCUACACACGUGUUACAAUGGGAGUUACAGAGGGAAGCUAAGCCGCGAGGCCAUGCCAAUCCCAGAAAAACUUUCUCAGUUCGGAUCGCAGUCUGCAACUCGACUGCGUGAAGCUGGAAUCGCUAGUAAUCGCGGAUCAGCACGCCGCGGUGAAUACGUUCCCGGGCCUUGUACACACCGCCCGUCACACCAUGGGAGCCGACAAGGGCAGAAGUCGCCGAGCUAACCUUCGGGAAGCAGGCGCCCAAGCUGUUGUUGACGACUGGGGUGAAGUCGUAACAAGGUAGCCGUAGGAGAACCUGCGGCUGGAUCACCUCCUUUCUAAGGACGCCGGAGAUUCUUUAUGCUUAUCUCCGGAUAGUCAAAGUCGAAACAGACUCUCUUCUCUUCUCUCCCUUUUCUCCUGUAAAUGCUAAGUUAUGAAUUUAGAGCAACGAAGAAAUUGAAUUCGUUACUGUGGACUCCUAAUUUCAAGAGGGGCCUGUAGCUCAGCUUGGUUAGAGCGCAUCCCUGAUAAGGAUGAGGCCGGUGGUUCAAGUCCACCCAGGCCCACCAGCUCAUUUUUGAUUUAGAUAUGGAUUUAGCGGCUAUGAUGGUGGCAAAUCUGAGGUCUGGCAAUCCAAAUCAAUUAAAAUCGGGGGAUUAGCUCAGCUGGUAGAGCACCUGCUUUGCAAGCAGGAAGUCAGCGGUUCGACCCCGCUAUCCUCCACCAAAUUAAUGAACAGUAAAAAAAGGUGGUGCAGCUUAAGCAGAAGAUAAGCUUCAGCAAUUAUUUAAUAAUUUCUGAAUUUUAUUUUUUAAUAUCUUAGACAAUUAAAUCGGAGGUUUUGGAGACACAAGAUCAAAUGUGAGGGUCUCCAAGGGUUGACGAUCUUGACUGUUAAAGUCAGGUAGUAAGGGCGCAGGGCGGAUGCCUUGGCUCUGGGAAGCGAAGAAGGACGUGGCCAGCUGCGAUAAGCCUCGGGGAAGAGCAAACAUCUUUUGAUCCGGGGAUUUCCGAAUGGGGAAACCCGG
rnacentral:sRNA from 1 species